GAGACACCCUUCUGGGGCAAGACUUGCUUCAGUGGGGCUUUGGUGCUCACUGAGUCUGCCCCCCGGGUGUGUCCCU
rnacentral:pre_miRNA from 1 species